GCAUAACGCGAAGAACCUUACCCACCUUUGACAUGUACGGAAUCCUUUAGAGAUAGAGGAGUGCUCGAAAGAGAGCCGUAACACAGGUGCUGCAUGGCUGUCGUCAGCUCGUGUCGUGAGAUGUUGGGUUAAGUCCCGCAACGAGCGCAACCCUUGCCAUUAGUUGCUACAUUUAGUUGAGCACUCUAAUGGGACUGCCGGUGACAAACCGGAGGAAGGUGGGGAUGACGUCAAGUCCUCAUGGCCCUUAUAGGUGGGGCUACACACGUCAUACAAUGGCUGGUACAAAGGGUUGCCAACCCGCGAGGGGGAGCUAAUCCCAUAAAGCCAGUUGUAGUCCGGAUCGCAGUCUGCAACUCGACUGCGUGAAGUCGGAAUCGCUAGUAAUCGUGGAUCAGAAUGUCACGGUGAAUACGUUCCCGGGUCUUGUACACACCG
rnacentral:rRNA from 1 species